UACGGAGGGUGCAAGCGUUGCUCGGAAUUAUUGGGCGUAAAGGGUAUGUAGGUGGUCUCGUUUGUCUGGGGUGAAAUCCUUGAGCUUAACUCAAGAAGUGCCUCAGAAACGGCGAGACUAGAGUUCUGGAGAGGGUAGUGGAAUUCCCGGUGUAGCGGUGAAAUGCGCAGAUAUCGGGAGGAACACCGGUGGCGAAGGCGGUUCUCUGGGCCUGUACUGACGCUGAGGAGCGAAAGCGUGGGGAGCGAACAGG
rnacentral:rRNA from 1 species